CCCUUAGAUGUUCUGGGCCGCACGCGCGCUACACUGAUGCAUUCAACGAGUCUAAAACCUGGUCUGAGAGGGCUGGGUAAUCUUUUGAAAGUGCAUCGUGAUUGGGAUAGAUGAUUGCAAUUCUUCAUCUUCAACGAGGAAUGCCUAGUAAACGCAAGUCAUCAGCUUGCAUCGAUUACGUCCCUGCCCUUUGUACACACCGCCCGUCGCUCCUACCGAUUGAACGAUCCGAUGAAAACUGUGGAUUGAGAGUCUGAGUGGGUUCGCCUACCUCAACUUUCGAGAAGCGGUUUAAAUCUUAUCGUUUAGAGGAAGGAGAAGUCGUAACA
rnacentral:rRNA from 1 species